rnacentral:rRNA from 130 species
UCGGACCGCGACCCCAG